GACGGAGGAUGCAAGUGUUAUCCGGAAUCACUGGGCGUAAAGCGUCUGUAGGUGGUUUAAAAAGUCUACUGUUAAAAAUUGAAGCUUAACUUCAAAGAUGCCGUAGAAACUUUUAAACUUGAGGAUGGUAGGGGUAGAGGGAAUUUCCAGUGGAGCGGUGAAAUGCGUAGAUCUUGGAAAGACCACCAAUGGCGAAGGCACUCUACUGGGCCAUGACUGACACUAAGAGACGAAAGCUAGGGGGAGCGAACAGG
rnacentral:rRNA from 1 species